ensembl:misc_RNA Y_RNA Y RNA
GGCUGUUCCAAAAGUAGUCAGUUAUUCAUAGUCGGUUACAAAUUGAACUCCUUGUUCCACUCUUUCACCCCCUCUCACAUUGCCCUUGACUGAUCCUAA